rnacentral:tRNA from 1 species
GCGGAUAUGAUGGAAUUGGCAGACAUGCAGGAUUUAGGUUCCUGUGCUUUGUGGCGUGCGGGUUCGAGUCCCGCUAUCCGCA